rnacentral:rRNA from 1 species
AACGAACGCUGGCGGCAUGCCUAACACAUGCCAGUCGAACGAGACCUUCGGGUCUAGUGGCGCACGGGUGCGUAACGCGUGGGAACCUGCCCUUAGGUUCGGAAUAACUCUCCGAAAGGGGUGCUAAUACCGGAUAAUGUCUUCGGACCAAAGAUUUAUCGCCUUUGGAUGGGCCCGCGUUGGAUUAGCUAGUUGGUAGGGUAAAAGCCUACCAAGGCGAUGAUCCAUAGCUGGUCUGAGAGGAUGAUCAGCCACACUGAGACUGAGACACGGCCCAGACUCCUACGGGAGGCAGCAGUGGGGAAUAUUGGACAAUGGGCGGAAGCCUGAUCCAGCAAUGCCGCGUGAGUGAUGAAGGCCUUAGGGUUGUAAAGCUCUUUUACCCGGGAUGAUAAUGACAGUACCGGGAGAAUAAGCUCCGGCUAACUCCGUG